GGGCGAUUAGCUCAGUGGAUAGAGCGCCAGCCUCCGGAGCUGUAGGUCGCCGGUUCAAAUCCGGCAUCGCCCUCCA
rnacentral:tRNA from 1 species